rnacentral:rRNA from 1 species
UACGUAGGGUGCAAGCGUUGUCCGGAAUUACUGGGCGUAAAGCGUGCGUAGGUGGUGAGUUAAGUCUGAUGUGAAAUCCCCGGGCUCAACCUGGGAAUGGCAUUGGAUACUGGCUCGCUAGAGUGCGGUAGAGGGUGGUGGAAUUCCCGGUGUAGCAGUGAAAUGCGUAGAGAUCGGGAGGAACAUCUAAGGCUAAGGCGGCCACCUGGACCAACACUGACACUGAGGCACGAAAGCGUGGGGAGCAAACAGG